UACAGAGGGUGCAAGCGUUAAUCGGAAUUACUGGGCGUAAAGCGUGCGUAGACGGUAGCGUAAGUCGGGUGUGAAAGCCCCGGGCUCAACCUGGGAAUUGCAUUUGAGACUGCUCUGCUCGGGUGCGGAAGAGGGAAGCGGAAUUUCCGGUGUAGCGGUGAAAUGCGUGGAUAUCGGAAGGAACACCAGUGGCGAAAGCGGCUUCCUGGUCCGACACCGACGUUCAGGCACGAAAGCGUGGGGAGCAAACAGG
rnacentral:rRNA from 1 species